GCUCUGCAGUGAAAACAGGGUUUGCGUUUUGUCUCCUGCCUCAUUCCAAAAUGGAUUUGAAGCAGUUAAAUAUGAGCCGAGCUGUGCCAGAGAAGAUGACGAGGAUUUGAAGAUGAGAUACUAAGGUAAGAGCUGUACCUAUGACAGUGCACUGAAUGGUCCCAAUAAACCCGUCACAGCCAGUUUUCAAGCGGGGAGACUGAGGCACAGAGAAGAGGCAAUCACAGUUUUGAUCUUCGUGACCAGCUCACUCAGAUGUGCAGAUGGCAGCACAGUAUUCCAGCCAAGAGAACAAGGUCAGCAGAAGAUGAAUGAUGCAGGGGUUUGUGUGCGAUCAUAAGCCCAUAGCCAGCUAUUCCGUAAGCCUGGGCUUCGGUCUCUCCGGGAAUGCUGUGUGAGCAUUUUCCACGGAGAGGGGGUGGCAUCCGCCUAGCUGGAGGACUGGCAGCACACGGAAUCUUCCUGCAGUAGAUUCUUAAACAUGGAAGCCUGGCCAAAGGGAGGCCAGACAAGAAGGGGUGGGAGAAUUGCUUGAGUGAAAGAUGUGGGCACGAAGGACAAUGGGAUGCCUGGGCAGGGGACCCCCAACUGCCUAGCUGGGGGAAAGUGAUCAGAGAAACUUUCACAGAGAGGGGAUAUUUGAGCUGGAUCUUGAAGGACGAAUAGGAGUGUGCCAGGUGGAGGAAGGGGGGAAGGUAUAUAGACAAGAGAGACCAACAGCCCUGUGAAAGUUCCGAGACCUGGGAGAAUACAGCCACUCCUAUGCUUUGUGGCUAGUUGUGGCAAGAGCUCAGGGAGAGAGGGGCAUGGAGUGAAGGAGACAAGGCUGGAAGUGUGGGCUGGAGUCAGGUCAUUAAGGGUCUGUAGCUCUACAACCCUUCUGGACAGCUUGGUGCAGUGGAAAGAUUUCUGGCUGUGCAGCAGGAGGAAAAAAACCUGGGGGUUUGGAGUGUGUCAAAGCUGGUUUUGAAUCCAAGUUCCAUUACUUACUGGCCACGUGACCGAGAUCAAAUUACCUUACCUCUGAGUCCCAGCAUCCACGUUUGGAAGAUGGGGACGCAAUGCCCACCUCCUAGGGGUGUCGUUAGGAUGAAACAAGGUGAAGGGUAGACUCCUGACACAGAGCACACCGCAGUCUCUCGGUGAAUGUUAGUUCCCACUUUCCUAGACAGGUGAGGGGGUGUUGUUUCCAGCCAGAAAACACAGGGGGUAGAGUUUCAACCAGAUCUCUAUUUUAGAAUGGUGACUCCAAUGGAUUGUUCUAGGGGGAACGGAAGGCAGAGAGAAGACUCAGCUCUGAACAUGGAGUUUUAACAGCUUCUGUUUCAGGGGUUUACAGCCUCAUUAUCAGGCACCAGAUUCUGGGGCUAUAGCCUGUGGUUCCAGUAUCUGAAUCUCUCUUUAAGAAGACUGGAUAAUGGACUGGCUUAGCUGCCUCAAUGUCCCCAACGUGGUGAGACCAGUUUGAAGGGCCACAAUUUAAGCAAGCACAACUUUAUUUUGCCACAGACCAGCUGUCCCACUUCUAUUCUUCAUUUCAUUUAUUCAUUCAUUCGUCUGGCAAAUAUUUAUUGAGUGGCCCCACCAGUAAGUGGGCUGCAUGGGUAUUGGGGAUACAAUGUCUCCUCUCCCAUCUGUGUGGUUAUAUAUAAUCAGAACUCGAGAAAAACAGCGCUCCCAUCCCCUCCCAAUGCCCACAUGUUGCCGGGGCUUCCCGACAGUCAGUUUGAUGCAUCCCUGCCCUUCGUGGAAGGUAAUUAGCUGGUCAGAGAACAUGGUCCAGUGAAGACAGUCCCACUGGAAAAUCACCAUGCUGUGCCACACUUUCUCAAGCUUCGUUUUC